UCCCUGGUCGUCUAAUGGUCAGGACAUGUCGUUUAUGCCGAUGGGAUCCGGGUUCGAGCCCCGGCUGGGGAA
rfam:Tilletia walkeri strain DAOM 236422 scaffold_317, whole genome shotgun sequence.